rnacentral:rRNA from 1 species
UACGUAGGGUGCGAGCGUUGUCCGGAAUUAUUGGGCGUAAAGAGCUCGUAGGCGGUGUGUCACGUCGGCCGUGAAAACCUGCAGCUUAACUGUGGGCGUGCGGUCGAUACGGGCAGACUAGAGUUCGGUAGGGGAGACUGGAAUUCCUGGUGUAGCGGUGAAAUGCGCAGAUAUCAGGAGGAACACCGGUGGCGAAGGCGGUUCUCUGGGCAUUACCUGACGCUGAGGAGCGAAAGUGUGGGGAGCGAACAGG